rnacentral:rRNA from 1 species
UGGGGAAUAUUGGACAAUGGGCGCAAGCCUGAUCCAGCCAUGCCGCGUGAGUGAUGAAGGCCCUAGGGUUGUAAAGCUCUUUCACCGGUGAAGAUAAUGACGGUAACCGGAGAAGAAGCCCCGGCUAACUUCGUGCCAGCAGCCGCGGUAAUACGAAGGGGGCUAGCGUUGUUCGGAUUUACUGGGCGUAAAGCGCACGUAGGCGGACUUUUAAGUCAGGGGUGAAAUCCCGGGGCUCAACCCCGGAACUGCCUUUGAUACUGGAAGUCUUGAGUAUGGUAGAGGUGAGUGUAAUUCCGAGUGUAGAGGUGAAAUUCGUAGAUAGUCGGAGGAACACCAGUGGCGAAGGCGGCUCACUGGACCAUUACUGACGCUGAGGUGCGAAGGCGUGGGGAGCAAACAGG